rnacentral:rRNA from 1 species
CAGUAGCCGCGGGAAUACAGAGGUCCCGAGCGUUGUUCGGAUUCAUUGGGCGUAAAGGGUGCGUAGGCGGCUUUCUAAGUUUGAUGUGAAAUCCUGGGGCUCAACCCUGGAACUGCAUUGAAUACUGGGAGGCUAGAGAACUGGAGAGGAGACUGGAAUUUACGGUGUAGCAGUGAAAUGCGUAGAGAUCGUAAGGAAGACCAGUGGCGAAGGCGAGUCUCUGGACAGUUACUGACGCUGAGGCACGAAGGCCAGGGGAGCAAACGGGAUUAGAGACCCCCGUAGUCCCUGUCUCUUAUAC